AUUAUAUACCAUUUUCAAACUAAAGUACUUUUUGUAUUCAUAUUAAUGGUUAAAAUAUGUUCAUUGUGCUUUACAGCUCAUAUAUCCUGGCUUUAUAUUAGUUAUAACAGUUCUACUGAUGAAAGGUGGUGACGUAAGCCAUUGGAUCACUAAUUUAAAAAGUGAGUGCUGAGAUUCAAUAAAAAGAAAUCAUCACAUUUAUGUGUAUGCUCUUUGAUUUGUUUGUAUUUUUGAUAUGAAAAUCAUAUGCACAUUUUCGUUAAUAGCAAUAGCAAUAUUACUGUCACGUCGGUAUAGUAUCAAUGAGAUAGAUUAAAGACGUUUUAGGAUCGAAAUGAGAUUACAGAACGGUCUUAUAAUUAAAUUUGAAUCACUGUAUUUAGUUUUUGGAGCUUUGAUUAACUCACUAGACAACUACGCUCUCCUAAGUGAAAAACAAAUGUAAUAUAAUAUCAUGGUAUUAUUUCUGCCCCCUCCCCGCCCCCACCCCCACCCACCCCCCACACACCCCACAACUCCCUUCGAAGAAUAUGGGGUAUAUUGUUUUGAUCACUGACUGUCUGUCGGUCGGUCUGUAGACCAUUUGGUUUUCCUUCUAUAUUUUCUUAUUUUAACAAUGGUUUAAUUUGCAUAGCGUGAUUGCAUGUCAUCCGUGAGUAUCCCCUAUUGUUUAGAAGGACAUUAGUUAUGUUGAUCUCAAAACUGAAAAAUAAACGUUUCCAUUUAAUAACUAAUCAGAGUGAUGAUAUAGUCGUCAAACCUUAUUUAGUUGACAGCCUGUGGACAGUAGAUGGCACGUAAUGAGUUCAGAAAGCAGAAGGUCAAUGUGACAGAGACCUUGGGACUGAAAACGGGUUUUCCUUAAUAAAUGAAAAACGCAACGAACUUCACAUGAUUAUUGCCUGUUGCGAUAGGAAUCAUCGUCCAAGAUAUAUUCCGUUUCUUCGGAAUUAGUGCAAAAAAGCCCAAAAGCAACACCUCUGGUAAUUCAGCAAAACGGACGAGAUCACAGCCGUAUGAGAAUCUGCGUGGAAAAAUGCUAAAUACAUGCAUUAUUAAUAGGAAAGAAUACGAUAAGAAUUUUGAUUUAGCAAAACAGCUCGCUAACGAGGGUGCAAUACUUACGUAUGAUGAUAUACCCUGGCCAAAUAAGAAUGGCAGAGACGGCGACUGUGAUAUACUGUUUGAGGGCAUGGAUAUAACAAGUACAGAAUAUAAGGAAAGGGUGCGCAAAGAAAGGUUUCGGUGGCACCCAGAUAAAUUUGCUCACAAGUUUGGGAAUAGUUUAAAACCUGAGGAUGAAUAUGCUAUUAUGACACGUGUGAAAGAUAUAUCACAGAAUAUUAAUGAAUUAAUAGAAAUGGACAAAGAUAUGUCAUAUGAUUAGUUUAAACACUGUUUAUUCAUUUUAUAGUUGUAAAUUACACAAUUUGUAUACAUAUAAGUUACAAACAAUAUUGAGUAGAAGGCUUUUAGCUUGUUAAAAAAACUAAUUCCUGAAAUAUUUCAUAUUACUGAUAAAACUUUUUAUCAUGUCAUGAUCAUUAUAUUCAUUUCUAUUUUGUCACAAAUUGCGGGGAGUUUAUGUCUAAAAUACAACAUAAAAUAAACAUUUACUCUUCAAAAAAAUAAUCCAUACAAACGUUGAAACCAACAAAAUUACGUCUUAUUAUAUUUACGCUGCUUCGCAGAAGGACGAAGGAAUAUGAAAGGAACUUUGUUUAGUCCAUAGAAUACACAAUCUUAAACGUAAUUUUCGUGAUACACCGUGACUAGACAAGGAUAGUGCAGAAUGUGAAUGGAAUGCCAUAUUCUGUCUUAUGGGGUAUAUUAAUUGCUCACACUGUAAGACAUACGUACGCAGGCGAAAGCUCUGUCGGAAUCUGUACAUGCUCAAAAGUAUAUGGUAAUACAGACUACGAAUGGAUUGGUUGAAUAUGCAUAUACAGACAUAUGGCCUCCAACACAUUUUCUGAAAUCACAUGUAGAUGAACUUCUCUCUAGUAUCACUAAAUUGGUGAAUCUCUCAAUACAACAAGGUGUUUUUCCUGUGAAAUACAAACAAGUAGUUGUAAGACCUCUUCUUAAAAUAGCCGAUCUUGAACUAGAGCUCUCUAAUUAUCGUCCUGUCAGUAAUUUAUCAUUUUUAUCAAAACUUAUUGAGAAAGCUGUUCUUUACAGAUUAAACAAAUAUGUAAAUCAAAACAGUCUUUUGCCUAAGAACCAGUCUGCAUACAGGAAAUACCAUUUCUGUGAAUCUGCGCUACUUCGGUUAGUCAAUGAUCUUCUAAGUGGCAUGGAGAAAAAGGAUGUCACAACCCUUAUUGCAAUUGACUUAAGUGCGGCAUUUGACACUGUCGACCACGACAUUCUUCUAGAUGUCCUAAAAGCACAAAAUGGCGUCGAAGAUACAGCUUUUCAAUGGGUGGACUCCUACUUAAGGCCUCGUACUUGUAAGAUUGAAAUCAACAAUUUAUAUUCAUCAGACCGCCAUUUUGAAUGCAGUGUGCCCAAGGACAGUUGCCUUGGUCCUUGGCUGUAUCUCACCUAUGCUGGAACUCUUUUUGAUGUCAUUCCAAAAUCCAUGUAAGUCUACGGUUUUGCUGAUGAUCAUAUAGGAAAUAAAAGCUUUCGUCUUACAUCUGUUUCCGUAGAAUCACAAGCGAUCGGACACCUUGAAAGGUGCGCCAUUCAAUGUCUGAAUGAAUAGAAACAAACUGAAAAUGAUCACUUCCAAAACUGAAAUUAUUAUGUUUGGUAGCAGACCUCAAUUGAACAAAUGUUUUACAAAUUCCAUUUACAUUGCUGGUGAUGAUGUCAAACGUGAAAGCACAAUUAGAUAGUUCGGUGCAUUUCUUGACAAAACCUUGAACUUUUAAUAAAAGAUCAUGUAAAUCGAAAAUGUCGUACAACCAUGUUGAAUUACCUACGAAUUAAGAACAUCCGAAAAUACUUAACAAAAGCAGCCACUGAAAUUUUAGUUUUGUCUCUACUUUUUUCACAUCUGGAUUAUUGCAAUGUCAUACUGUAUGGUGUAGGUAACUGUGAGGUGCGUAAGAUGCAACGUAUUCAAAACAUGUGCGCGAAACUUGUCCUUAACAGGAGGAAAUUUGAAAGUUUUAAAAAAGCAUUGUAUCAUUAACAUUGGUUGCCGGUGAAAGCAAGAAUUGAGUUCAAGAUUCUUUCUUUCAUGUAUAGCUGUCACACUGGCAGAGCACCUCUGUACUUAACAGAAUUGCUUACAGAGUAUAUUCCUAGUAGACAAGGUUUGAGAUCGUCUGAAAAUUCUGAAUGUCGUUAUGUUGUUUCAUACAACAAAUGCAAAACAUUCAAUGAUAGAAGUUUCUGUACUAUUGGUCCAAACUUUUGGAAUGAACUGCCGUUUGAACUACGCAAAAGUAAAUCACUUGACACAUUCAAACAAAACUCUUAAGACGCUGUAUUUUAGAGAUUUUGUGGCAUUGUUUUAAUUUUUGAUAACUGUUUAUCAUGCGAAAACAGCACGUGAUAGUUCUUAAAUUUUUGUAAAAGGUUUUACAUUUCAACAUUUAUAUCUCCAUGGUUUGUUUAAUAAACACACUUUUUGGUAGGUCUCUAUGUGAAGAGUAGUAUGUAGUUUUUCUUUCUUAAAUUUUAGUAUAUGAUGGCACAAUUAACCGAGGUUUUUGAACCUCUAUAUGCAGCUCGUCUGGGCGUACCAGUUGCUUUAAGCACUUGUAUUGGCAAUAGCGGUAAAAGGGCCUCAAGGGGAGGGGUGCGGUCAUGACUGUUUACAAUAAGACUGCUAUUAUUAUUAUUAUUAUUAUUAUUGUCAUUAUUAAUGUUGUUAUGAUAACUAUUAUUAUUAUGUACAACGCCAUUGAAUAUAUUCUUGUAUAAACAUAGGCGUUUAAUCAAAUUAUUCAGUUUCAAUUUCAGUUUCAGACAGAACUUUGUCAAAGUUUGUAAAUGUAUCCGAUUUUCACGACCGAUGUCAGUAAUUCCUUAUUCCUUCAUUUUAAUUUCCAGAUGUUAAAUUCCAAUUCCAUAUUGUGUAUCAACCUUCAUGAAGUAAAUCUGCUGAGUAAUUCUAUGAAUUUUGAUGUAAAACACUGUAUUUUAAUGUAUUAUCCAGUACACCUGUUGCCUAGAAUCUUAUCCGCCAUGUUUGUUUACAUGGACCGUGAAUAGUUGCAAAGGGAGUGAAUAUUUUCAUACCAAAAUUUACGGCUGUUUACACUAAAUCUUUUCCAGACAACAUUAGCUGAGGUUUACUUUGUAGUUUUCUCUAUGUCUAAUAAAUACUUUGUGUCUUUGUGUAUUUUUCAGUCCGCUAGAGCCAUUUAAACUUUCCCCACAGUUUUUCUGGACCGCAACUUUUCUGUGGACGCCACAAAUUUUCUGUGGUCACCACAAUAUUUCUAUAGGGCGUUCGUGAAUUCCACCAUUUUUUGUGGGAUGUUCGGUGACAGUAUAUAUAGGGGCUGCUCACCGUCAUUCUGGAGCUCCAACACAAAAAUUUCGGCUGCACACCGUAUUUGGCCGUUCUUCGAAAUUUGCAAUAUUUUGGCUUGAAAUCGAAAUUAUAAAGGUGUGCACCAUUUUUAUUAGUUUUAUUUAUGGAAUUCUAGUUUCUUUUUGGAAAAGGAAGAAUUAUUUGCUGUAUUUAAAUUAUUUUGCAGAAAUCAAACAUUGGCUCGAAAAACUGAUAGAUCAAGCUGCUUUGCCACUAUUCCUUUUUAGAUUUUAUUCAUUGUUUGAUGAUUUAUUUAUGAGAAACAAUAGAUUCUAUUAAGCCGGAUUUGUUAAUUAAAUGAUAGAAACUUUUAA